AUCGAGGUGGCAGAUUAAUGCCUAGACUUUAAGCGUCUACAAUGUGUAUAAACACCCCCGAAU
rnacentral:tRNA from 1 species